rnacentral:tRNA from 1 species
GGGGCUAUAGCUCAGUUGGUAGAGUGCUUGCUCAGCACGCACAAGGCCCUGGGUUCAAUCCCCAGCACCACCA